GACUACCAUUUAUCUGAUGUCUCCGGCGCUGCUUGGGAGAGCGUUUUGCACGAGAGCUGAAUACAAAGAAAACAAAAGGAAGAGAGAGAGAAAAAAAUAACAAACGAGACAAAGGUGAGAAAUCCUUCCAUGCUCAAGACAUAACUACAGCUGCACCAACACCUCUGUUCAUACUUGCAUAUUAGUUCUGGUUACUUACCCACUCUAUUUGCUCCUGACAACAUAAAGGAAAAAGAAGAAACAACACAGUAAUUAUUACAAAUAAUUCAGCUGGAAUGGCAAGUGGAAAAAACACAGCAAUAGGAUGUUUGUGUUUACCUUUGGAUGAAAUGCGUAAACUUGGAUCCAAUUGCCAAGCCACAGCUGCACAAAACAGGAGCUGAAUCUGACAUUUAACAGACACAGAGGCCUCUACAGAGAGCAGGGACAAUUAUGAAUGGAAAAAAUAGUCCCUGUGAUUACCAAACCAGAGGCAUGAAAAAUGAAGACAUAGUACAUUCGAUCCAGUAAGGGCAUUGUAGGUAAAAAAAAGGACACAUUUCAUAAAAUAUUCUUGAUGCUUUUGUCAUAAUUCAGGCACAGCAAUAUCUGACAUUUCCAUAGCAAAAGGACUUGUUAAACGUUACAUGAAGUGUUAAGGCAGAUGGAAAAAUUGAGAGGCAAAAAUGGAGUCCCCAGGUAAGAUGAAAUGAGACAGUAUGAAAUCAGGGCAACAGAAUUGAAGUCAGAUAGGCUGAAGCAAGUCAUAAACCAAACAUCUUGCCUGAGAUGACCUCUGUUAUACUGUAAUUGUUUUUCUAUAUAUUCACUUAGGCAUGAUUUCUGGUACUUAGUGCAAACCUAAGGCACUGAAAGUAUACAUCGUCUUCUAUUUAUAAACUGCAUAGCAUGCAUUGCCUGCUGAAUGUACACAUCCAUCUAUUGGGAAGUAUAACUUUCUAGUCACAUUAGCAGAUCUUUCACUUUGUUUUCUUGCAUGCUUGUCAUAGAGGAAAAUGUGCUCUAUCACCAUUGCUCUUCCAGGAUUAGAUCCCAUUAUGAAAGUUUAAGACUCAUCCACUAUGUAAUUUGUAGUUUAACCAGCAAAGUCCUAGUGUUUUAUAUUGACUGCCUUACAUAUUUAUCUAAAUCUCAUUACUUCAACAUGAGCAUAAAUUGAAGAAUGUCUGCUACGAUCUGAAUUUCACUGGCACUGCAUUCCUCAGUAAUCACCUUAUACUUCAGUCGGUAUCUGAAAUAAUAUGUGGAAAAACAUUCAGUAUACUAAAAGAGACUGCUCAUAAUAUGACAUUUUCCUCUUCUCGGUUUCUGCUGCCACCAAGGCCAUAUGUAUUAAGAACAGAUGGUGAAAUCACAAGUUUCUUUAACACAUAUUCAGUACCAGAAGUUUAUCUAGGAAAGCCUAGAGAUUGUGAUUUAAGCCAAAGUUCUGGUAACUAAAACCUCAAGGAAGGAUCAAGCCAUCUAAACUGAAAAAGCUCUCAGAAAUGACACUGCAAGUUCGUGUAGGUACAGCUAGCCACAGACUUUUAAACAGGAAAACAAAUUUUCAAAAUGUUUUAAAUAAAAAAUGGAAGUCAUCUUGUGGUGCUUCCAUCAACUUUAAAAUGGAGAAGGGAAUGUAACUUCGAGUUCCUCCAAAGAAAAUGGUGGCAUUUUAAUGCUAAGACGAUAGUUCUUUACCAAAAAAAAUUAAACAAAAAUUCACUGUUUUUGAUGUAUCAACUCUGGAUUUUCCUCUAAAACGCAGUCAUGAAGGCAUCUUGACAAAGGGAUCUUUUGGUUUAGUUUCAUUUGUUGAAAUGGAAGACCUACACAUACCUUUCAUUCUAGCAAACUUUUGCAUAUAGGGGCUUAAAAGGAGUGAACCUUCUUUCCUCCACUCUCCAACAUGCUCUCAGCAAAACCCUUUCCAUUUAGGAAUAAUUGCAGUGGCCACCUUGGUAGUAAUCAUGCACACAAUUAUAUGAGCAGUAGAUUAAUUGCCAAACACAGCUUUAGAGAAGUUACAGCACUAGUGUAACUCUUCAACCUAGCCAAGUAAAGCACUGCUAAUGUACACAAGUUUUGUUUUGAUUUUUUAAAAUUAAUAAAAAGUAGUAACUCA